GGAAGGCUUGGUCACAGUGGGUUUCCUUACAGAAACUGUUUGCUCUCUAGGGCAGCAAGGUUCAACAUCAGUUUAGGCGAGACCUGCUGCAAAUGCUUUCAUGAAACAUUCGUGACAUUUCUGAAAAGAUUAUCCAGAAAUCUCACUCUUCUUAAAAACUCUAUAUUUUGCUUAAUAUUCAUCCUGUUCACACACAUAAUUUUUUUUCAGAUAGUCUCAAGAUAAUAGUUUAGCCUUGAAGUCACUAUGAAGCCCAAGAUGACCUUGAAUUGGUGGUGGUCCUCCUGCUUCAGCCUCCUGAGUGCUGGAAUUACAGGAAAAUAACCUGAAGACGACAUCUUUAAAGUGGCACAUCAGGAAACGAAGCUGCCUCUAAUCUUUAGAAAAUAGCUCGGUGACCAGCAACCUGCUCUAGCCCAAAGCCCAGUGUUCUAAUUCCAGCUCCCUGAUCUUUCUACAGAAAGGACAAAAUGAAACAAGAUGGAAACUACUGCUCAGCAGGUCCCUGUAUUUCCUACCUUUCCAGCCACAAAGGAGCUGAAUUUCUCAUAGGUACAGUUCUGAAACUGCCACCAUCCACCACCAGCAACUUAUUUCUCCCUCCGUGACUGAAACCAAGGUCUCAGAUAAGCCUGUGGGCCUGGUCAAGCCUACAAAAGCACAGGCCCGUGUUCCCACUCACCUCCACCUUGUACUUCUUGCGGGCCUUGUUAACAUUGAUGGCGAGGUGCAGUACCAUGACAAAGCUGGCAGCACCCGUCAGGAUCACGAAACCAUAUUCCUUCGAGAGGACGGCCAUGUUGCCUCUGUGAAGAAAGCGUGCCGUUUUGGGACACUGUCCCCCGCAGUACCC